GCUUCGCUCGGGUGAAGCGGAAAUCCUUUGUGGCGGGGUUCGCCGCAAAGAUUCAAGCGUAUAGCGGGAAAAGCU
rnacentral:sRNA from 1 species